GGAACUCGGGUUGCCGGCGCCGUAACACAGCACGCUAACCUCGACGCGAUCACUGCCUGGCAGGGCUCUCUGCAGGAGAUGAAGCUGGUCCUGGGAGGGUCCCUCGCAACUGUUGCCAGUAUGCAAGGUUGCUCGCAUCAGGCAGAUGACAACACACUGCUCAACACAGUGUCAUCAAAUUCACGGACCUUAGACGACCAGAGCGCCCGACUGCUGAUCAAUGAGAUGGCGAAGCUCACACAAGUCUUGCGGGAGCUGCGUGAAAACGUCCAGCAGCAG